GUUAGAAUGGCAGAGUUUGGUAAUUGCAAAAGAUCUAAAAUCUUUCACUCAGAGGUUCAACUCCUCUUUUUAACU
rnacentral:tRNA from 1 species